CAAUGAACUCCCAAGAGGUGAUGUACAGUAUCCUGAUGGAUUUGGUACCCUGAACACUGCUGCCCUGCUGGGAUGACUCCUGCCUCCACAAAGGAGCAAGGCCCAAAACCAGAGGUGCUGUUCUGACACAUGAGGAUGUGGCAUUUCCAUGUCCAACCUCCACCAUGCGCUGGAUGCACCCUCCAGGGCGCUGGGAUUGCUGAUUUGGAACCCUCUCCGAGCCAUAUUCCUUAAAUGUGGAAUAGCAGCAUGUGAAAUGCAUGAGGAGCUAAUACAGUGCAUAAAAACGA